GAAAAAUAUUAGCCUAUUAGGGGCAACCAUAUGGGGAUUCACUUCAGUUUGAAGGUCAAACCAAAACCAAACUAAAUACCUAGGCUUAUCAUUUUUU